rnacentral:snRNA from 1 species
AUUGCUUCUUGGCCUAUUGAGAAAAAUUAAGUACAGUAUCUUCUCAUAUAAGAUUAAUGUCUGAUACAGCCUCUAUUUGAGAACAAUAAAUUAAAUGAAUUUUUGGAUAAUUAAGAUAAGGUACGAGCUUACUCCAUGAAUUGACCUGGAAUUGCACUACCCCCAGGAACAAUGCACCACAU